AUUCAGUUGGGCACUCUAGCGAGACUGCCCGGUAAUAAACCGGAGGAAGUGGGGAUGACGUCAAAUCAUCAUGCCCUUAUGACCUGGGCUACACACGUGCCACAAUGGUUGGUACAACGAGUUGCGAGUCGGUGACGGCGAGCUAAUCUCUUAAAGCCAAUCUCAGUUCGGAUUGUAGGCUGCAACUCGCCUACAUGAAGUCGGGAUCGCUAGUAAUCGCGGAUCAGCACGCCGCGGUGAAUACGUUCCCGGGCCUU
rnacentral:rRNA from 1 species